UAUGGUCAAACUACCAUUUUCAAGUUGGCAUAUAUUCGAACUGAACCUGUGCGAAUAAAUAAAGAUCGACUGUUGAAUGCAAUUCGAUGUUUAAACAGUCGCAUAGAUGCAGUACGACCUUAAAUACAGUCGCAUACGUCAUAACGUAUGUCUGGCGUUCUGUUAAACAUUUCCCUACAAAACUUUCAUGUGUAUGUUGUUGGAGGGGGUUCACUAGUGUUGGAAAACCUCAAACUCGGAUGCGGAAGGGACUAUGGAGGUAUUUAUGUAUACAAUGUAUGAGAGAAAACAAGUAAAUUGAAAUGGAAUAUAUGAGAAAUACAGUUUCAAAUGUUUGCAAGCUGUGUUUAUAAUCAUGACCGAUAUAUUUUCGCACUAAAUGUACUUGCACAUGUAUGUCAUUUUAAAUAGCCAUACCAUGUCAAAGUAGGGGUGUUUAAAAUGUUGCCACAUUACUAUCACAUAUUAGGUUGUAAACAGUGUUUGAAAGGUUGUGUCUACACAGGAAACGUUUACAGUUGUGACUGUUUAUAACAUGUAUUGCAGGCUGGGGAAGGAACUUCGCAAGAAUAUGCACCAGGCACAGUUAAUGCAGUAUACAGCACAAGUAGGACUCAGAAGGGUCAGGAAAUGUUGCUAGUUGACGGGUAUCAGUACUACCAGGAAAAGGCUGUUGAGGUCAAGCAAUAUUGGUGUUGCACAAGAAAAAAUAAAGAAAGGUGUAAGGGUAGAUGCAUAACUGAAAGAUAUAAAUGGCUAUAGGCUGCUGAAAAGCACAGCACAUUACCAUGCCCCCGAUGUAGUGCAAGAGGAGGUGCUGAGAGUUAAAUAACAGUUGAAAUGACGUGCUGAGCAAUCUGUGGAGGAUCCCUGUAAAAUAGUUGCUGAAGUCCUAGCUUCUACAUCAAGUGAUGUUGUCAAUGAGUUACCCAAUACAAGUGCCCUUAAACAAACCAUGGGGGAGGCAGAGGUAUAGGAAGAAAUUGGAAAUAUGUAGUGGCUUCAAGUAUCUUAGGGGACUGAGUGCUGACAUGCUACCUUUGAAGACUGG